rnacentral:rRNA from 1 species
UACAGAGGGUGCGAGCGUUAAUCGGAAUUACUGGGCGUAAAGCGCGCGUAGGCGGCUUUUCAAGCCGAUUGUGAAAUCCCCGGGCUUAACCUGGGAACUGCAGUCGGGACUGUCUAGCUAGAGUAUGGGAGAGGGAAGUGGAAUUUCAGGUGUAGCGGUGAAAUGCGUAGAUAUCUGAAGGAACAUCAGUGGCGAAGGCGACUUCCUGGACCAAUACUGACGCUCAUGUGCGAAAGCGUGGGGAGCAAACAGG